GUUAGGAAUAUUGGACAAUGGGCGCAAGCCUGAUCCAGCCAUGCCGCGUGAACGAUGAAGGCCUUCGGGUUGUAAAGUUCUUUAGCCGAUGAUUAUAAUGACUGUAGUCGGAAAAUAAGCCCCGGCUAACUUCGUACCAGCAGCCGCGGUAAUACGAAGGGGGCGAGCGUUAUUCGGAAUCACUGGGCGUAAAGCGUGCGUAGGCGGCUUUGCAAGUUGGGAGUGAAAGCCCAGGGCUCAACCCUGGAAUUGCUCUCAAAACUGCAAGGCUCGAAUUCGGGAGAGGAUAGCGGAAUUGUCAGUGUAGCAGUGAAAUGCGUAGAUAUUGACAGGAACACCAGUGGCGUAAGCGGCUAUCUGGACCGAUAUUGACGCUGAGGCACGAAAGCGUGGGGAUCAAACAGGAUUAGAUACCCUUGUAGUCC
rnacentral:rRNA from 1 species